rnacentral:rRNA from 1 species
AUCAACUUUCGAUGGUAGGAUAGAGGCCUACCAUGGUGGUAACGGGUAACGGGAAAUUAGGGUUCAAUUCCGGAGAGGGAGCCUGAGAAAUGGCUACCACAUCCAAGGAAGGCAGCAGGCACGCAAAUUACCCAAUCCCGACAAGGGGAGGUAGUGACAAUAAAUAACAAUACGGGGCUCAUUUGGGUCUCGUAAUUGGAAUGAGUACAAUUUAAAUCUCUUAACGAGGAACAAUUGGAGGGCAAGUCUGGUGCCAGCAGCUGCGGUAAUUCCAGCUCCAAUAGCGUAUAUUAAAGUUGUUGCAGUUAAAAAGCUCGUAGUUGAAUUUCGGGAUUGACACAUCGGUCGUGCCUUAAGGGGUAUGAACUGGUGUAGUCAAUUUCUCACCUUCUGGAGAACCGCGAUGCCCUUAAUUGGGUGUCGCGGGGAACCAGGACCUUUACUUUGAAAAAAUUAGAGUGUUUAAAGCAGGCAUUUUGCUUGAAUACAUUAGCAUGGAAUAAUAAAAUAGGACGGCAUGAUUCUAUUUUGUUGGUUUCUAGGAUCACCGUAAUGAUUAAUAGGGAUAGUUGGGGGCAUUAGUAUUCAAUUGUCAGAGGUGAAAUUCUUGGAUUUAUUGAAGACUAACUACUGCGAAAGCAUUUGCCAAGGAUGUUUUCAUUAAUCAAGAACGAAAGUUAGGGGAUCGAAGACGAUCAGAUACCGUCGUAGUCUUAACCAUAAACUAUGCCGACUAGGAAUCAGACGAUGUUAAUUUUUUAAUGACUCGUUUGGCACCUUACGGGAAACCAAAGUGUUUGGGUUC